CUCCUCUCUCUCUCUGUCUCUCUCUCCUGUGAUCUAGUGCCUCAGACAACAUUGUGGAAUGCACAAGGAGAAUAUAAUCCACAUCCCAUUCAGGUAGUGAUCAGAUUGUCAUGCCAGACUAGUGGGAGUCAGUAUGCGACCCAAAUUGCACCCUAUUCCCUACAUAGUGCACUACGUUUGACCAGACCCCAAUGGGCCCAGUAACACAAACACUGUCAGCUCAUCUGGCCCUGUAACGCAAUCACUGUCAGCUCAUCUGGUCCCUGUAACGCAGUCACUGUCAGCUCAUCUGGGCCCUGUAACGCAAUCACUGUCAGCUCAUCUGGGCCCUGUAACGCAAUCACUGUCAGCUCAUCUGGGCCCUGUAACGCAAACACUGUCAGCUCAUCUGGGCCCUGUAACGCAAUCACUGUCAGCUCAUCUGGGCCCUGUAACGCAAACACUGUCAGCUCAUCUGGGCCCUGUAACGCAAUCACUGUCAGCUCAUCUGGGCCCUGUAACGCAGUCACUGUCAGCUCAUCUGGGCCCUGUAACGCAAACACUGUCAGCUCAUCUGGGCCCUGUAACGCAGUCACUGUCAGCUCAUCUGGGCCCUGUACCGCAGUCACUGUCAGCUCAUCUGGGCCCUGUAACGCAAACACUGUCAGCUCAUCUGGGCCCUGUAACGCAAUCACUGUCAGCUCAUCUGGGCCCUGUAACGCAAUCACUGUCAGCUCAUCUGGGCCCAGGUAGAGAUGAGUAAAUACAACUUGUGGAGUGAGGGACUGAAAUAAUGUGUUGCUCUGUAGUCAAUGUAAUUAGAUGUUUAUCUGGAGUUAAUUUAAUUAGAUGUUUAUCUCAAGUGAAUUUAUACCUGAAUCAUCUACAGGGAGAGAGGGAGGAGGGGACAGGUGGAGAGAGAGAUGGAUGGAUGAGCAGGGAGAGAGGGAUAGAGAUAGGGAUGGUUGGAGGUGGAGAGAGGGAAGUAGAGAGACUGAUGGAGGGAGGGGUGUAUGAGCAGGGAGAGCCGGGUAGAGAUAGGGAUGGAUGGAGGUGGAGAGAGGGAAGUAGAGAGACUGAUGGAGGGAGGGGUGUAUAGAUGUAUGAGCAGGGAGAGCCGGGUAGAGAUAGGGAUGGAUGGAGGUGGAGAGAGGGGGGUAGAGAGACUGACGGAGGGAGGGGUGUAUAGAUGUAUGAGCAGG
rnacentral:lncRNA from 1 species